rnacentral:tRNA from 1 species
GCCUAAAUAGCUCAGUGGUAGAGCAACCGGCUGUUAACCGGUUGGUCGUAGGUUCGAGCCCUACUUUAGGCGCCA